UACGUAGGGUGCGAACGUUAAUCGGAAUUACUGGGCGUAAAGCGUGCGCAGGCGGUUCGUUGUGUCGGCGGUGAAAGCCCCGGGCUCAACCUGGGAAUGGCCGUUGAAACUGGCGAACUGGAGUGUGGCAGAGGGGGGUGGAAUUCCGCGUGUAGCAGUGAAAUGCGUAGAGAUGCGGAGGAACACCGAUGGCGAAGGCAGCCCCCUGGGCUGACACUGACGCUCAGGCACGAAAGCGUGGGGAGCAAACAGG
rnacentral:rRNA from 1 species